UACGUAGGGGGCAAGCGUUGUCCGGAAUCAUUGGGCGUAAAGCGCGUGUAGGCGGCCAGAAAAGUCCGCUGUGAAAACUCGAGGCUCAACUUCGAGCUGUCGGUGGAAACUUUCUGGCUAGAGUCCGGAAGAGGAGAAUGGAAUUCCUGGUGUAGCGGUGAAAUGCGCAGAUAUCAGGAAGAACACCUAUGGCGAAAGCAGCUCUCUGGGACGGUACUGACGCUGAGACGCGAAAGCGUGGGGAGCGAACAGG
rnacentral:rRNA from 1 species